rnacentral:rRNA from 1 species
UGGGGAAUAUUGGGCAAUGGGCGCAAGCCUGACCCAGCAACGCCGCGUGAAGGAAGAAGGCUUUCGGGUUGUAAACUUCUUUUACCAGGGACGAAGACGUGACGGUACCUGGAGAAUAAGCCACGGCUAACUACGUGCCAGCAGCCGCGGUAAUACGUAGGUGGCAAGCGUUGUCCGGAUUUACUGGGUGUAAAGGGCGCGUAGGCGGGAUAGCAAGUCAGGAGUGAAAUCCAUGGGCUUAACCCAUGAACUGCUUUUGAAACUGUUAUUCUUGAGUAUCGGAGAGGCAGGCGGAAUUCCUAGUGUAGCGGUGAAAUGCGUAGAUAUUAGGAGGAACACCAGUGGCGAAGGCGGCCUGCUGGACGACAACUGACGCUGAGGCGCGAAAGCGUGGGGAGCAAACAGG